AACUUGAAAUAAACGGUGAAUACAGUAGCUGAAAUCAUCAGAAAAAUAUAAAUAUAGAGGGAGGUAUCGUUAUAUGGGAGCUAUACGAAGACCUGGUCCUGCAAAGACAACUUUCUGUCACAGGCUGUAGCAUCUAUUGCGAUCUUCAAAUACGACAUCUCAAACAAUUUCGUGUCUUUCGCAACAUUUAUGGUAAUGGUUCAUUCAAAUUUUGGAGAUUAUUGAAUCAUCAAUCAUGUUUACUCUUGUAAUCCGUCGCCCCAGAAUCUAUUUUGAAUACUAAAUCUUCAGACUUAUCUGUAAUUAUUUUACCAUCAGCGGAAACACACACCAAGGCAUUUUUUCGACUUCUUCACACCACUAAACGCAGAUGUCGCGGAAGUAUCCAUGUCACAAGGAUCUUGCUCUUCGUAUCAUCUUCUUCAUUCAUAUUUUUCAACGCGGCCACUACGGGUCAAAAGCUUCUGGUAGCGUGACAAAAAGUUGAGCAACGGUAUCUCCACAUUUUUCGUAAAAGAUCAUCAAACAGUAGUAAAUAUUUCCGCAAUUCAU